CAGCUCCGAAUACGGGUGGAGAAAUCGAAAGACCUCCAUCGCUCUCUGUUGGCGUGGUUAGCCCUACGUUCGGAGCACUU
rnacentral:sRNA from 12 species